GCCUGGAUACCCAAAGUGCUUGCUCCUGAUAAUGUUCUUGUUCACAAGGAAUCUGGAUCUGAGUUCCUCCAAGAUGGUUUAUAGAUAUUAAACGACGUAAAUGUGGAGUUUAGUCCCAGAAACAAUGGCUUGCAUCUGCUAAAAAUAUUUUUUGGCCAGAGUCUACAUAAUAAAGAGUAGACCCCGCAUUGGCUGCUGGGCGCGAGAAAUACGGCCGCCAUCUUGGACCGGUCGUACUCCUAGUUGCGUAGCAGCUGAAGCAACGGCGCCAGAGCACUGUGCAGCAUAUUCCUGCUCAAAUCGUCGGACCAUCGAAAGCAGGGCUCGGUGGAUUACUUUUCACAAUGUUUUUCAGGUCCUAGAUGCUUCUAAAUGGUAUGUAUUACACAACAUCAACUUUAUGCAGGUGUCAGAAAGAUUGGUAUGUAUGUUGAUAUGAGGUUAUCUUGUUUAAAUGUUUUUCAAUAUGCAGUUUGGUUUCUGUUGGCAUUAUCUUGUACUCAAUGUGUUUUUCAGGUCCUAGAUGCUUCUAAAUGGUAUGUAUUACACAACAUCAACUUUAUGCAGGUGUCAGAAAGAUUGGUAUGUAUGUUGAUAUGAGGUUAUCUUGUUUAAAUGUUUUUCAAUAUGCAGUUUGGUUUCUGUUGGCAUUAUCUUGUACUCAAUGUGUUUUUCAGGUCCUAGAUGCUUCUAAAUGGUAUGUAUUACACAACAUCAAGUACAUGUAGGUGUCAAAAGGGUAGGUAUUGCAUGUGUUGUUUUCAAGUUAUCCCAGUUCUGCAAUUACAUUGUUACAAGUUAAUGUUCCUUUGUGUACAAGUAUACUGUAUAAGUUAAACAAGAAACUGAUCCCAUUCCUAAAAACAUGGAUGCAAACUAAUUAUCUAUCUGCCCUGGUAGCUGUUUACCAUUUUCAUUCUCUGUGAGUUUGCACCCCUGUGAUAGGCACUUUACUGCUUUGUAUUAACAAAAUCACAUGGGGCUUUCUUGGGGUGUCUUUUCACCAUGAUCAGAGUAAUAAAACUUUUUUAUUUUGAAGGUACUUGUCGGUCAUCAGAUCAAUAACGACGUGUGAUGCUGAUGAUUCCUGAACUGCUUGGAGCUCCUAUUUAAUUCAAUCAGAGCAUCAGGAGGCUGGAAUAACAAUCCUUCGCCACGCCAGUUCCAGGCCAUCUUCCACCGGCUGAUGGUUUGGUGUGGUGUCUCACCUGGUGAGACAGGCAAUGUGGCAGCCCAGGAUAACACUGUGUCCCUGUCUGCUGUGGAGAUGUCCUCUCCUGAAACUGCUGAAGAGCACCCAUCUCCAUUCGCCAACAUUUGGCCCUUGUGUGUGACCACAGUUAUCUCCCCACUCGGUUUGGUGGUCUGGUGGAAAAUGCUCUGGUCUACAUAGCAGGGUUUCUAGUCCGGCAGAUUCUACGAAAACUGUCCUGUGAUGUGUGCCGUGCGAGCUUGGUCUGAGAUGCUGUACCAUCUUCAUUUGACAAGAGCUACCACCUUCUAACCCUGAAAAACAACGGCGGCCUAGUUAUUCCAUCACAAGGCACAGUGAAGGCUUUUUUUUUUUUAUUAUUAUUUUAAUCUUUGUAUAUUAAGGUUGCUUUGUUCUUAUUUUCUCUGUUUUGUAAAGUGUCUUUGAGCACUGUAUAAAGCGCUAUAUAAAUAUAAUGUUUUUUUUAUUUUUUAUUAUUUUAAUAAUGUGCUGAGUGCUGCAGAGGGGGUGAUUCACCAAUGCAAGCUCCUGAGGUGUCGACAGUCACACACAUUGUCCGGGACGAGAUUGGAACGGAGGAUGUUUUUUGCUUGGGGAACACAUU